GCGGGUGUAACUCAGUUGGUAGAGUAUCAGCUUCCCAAGCUGAGGGUCGCGGGUUCGAGUCCCGUCACCCGCU
rnacentral:tRNA from 2 species